CAGGUCAGCUUGGUGAGCGCGCUGCUUCAUAGUGAGCAGUGAGGAAAGUCCGUACACCACAGAGCAGGAAGCCAGGUAACUCCUGGAAAGGCGCAAGCUUUUGGAUCGGGCCACAGAAACAUACCACAUGCCGCAAUUGCGCGCAUGUAAGGGUGAAAAGGUGGUGUAAGAGACCACCGGCGCGGGUAGUAAUAUCCGCGGCCAGGCAACCCCCUUCCGGUGCAAGGUCAAACAGGGGAAAAGCUGAUUGCCAGUGCUGGCUCGGCACUGUUGAUCCCCGGGUAGACCGCUAGAGUGCCCUGGUGACAGUGCACCCAGAUAGAUGCCCACCCGCGACAGAAUACGGCUUAUAGGCUGACCUGAGUG
rfam:Anaerolineae bacterium 49_20 MPI_scaffold_1219, whole genome shotgun sequence.